rnacentral:lncRNA from 1 species
AUCCAUGAAUGGACGAUGAAAGGCCAAUGAUGAAGGAAAGACCCUUCCGGGGGUUGAAGAGCCACCACCCUCGGGCCUUAGGGUGGGGUCGGAGGAUAAAAAAUACCCGAAAGAGAGAGAUCCGAGGGUUGGUCGGCAGGAGCUGACACAACAGGGCGAAGCUGAUUAUUAGCCGAACUGAGUUCGACGCCAGUUGCACCGGACAAAGUCCGUAAUAAUCUAGCAGAUUCCGAACGAACUCCGAAAUCGGAAGCCGAAGACCAGCCCAGUGGUUCUCGACGUACAAAGCCACCUGGCCCGCGAGCGGGUUGUUAACCCGACCCCCGGCCCCAG